UGCGCAGGUGGCCAGGUGUGUGAGGCGUGAAAGCCCGGGGCUCAACCCCGGAAUUGCACCUCAAACUACAUGGCUAGAGCAUUGGAGAGGGGAGCAGAAUUCACGGUGUAGCAGUGAAAUGCGUAGAUAUCGUGAGGAAUACCAGAGGCGAAGGCGGCUCCCUGGACAAUUGCUGACACUCAGGCACGAAAGCGUGGGGAGCAAAAGGGAUUAGAUACCCCUGUAGUCCACGCCCUAAACGGUGCACACUAGGUCUUGGCGGAUUCGACCCCCCCAGGGCCCGAACGCUAACGCGUUAAGUGUGCCGCCUGAGGACUACGGCCGCAAGGCUAAA
rnacentral:rRNA from 1 species